rnacentral:rRNA from 1 species
CAAUAGCGUAUAUUAAAGUUGUUGCGGCUAAAAAGCUCGUAGUUGGAUUUCUGUCGAGAACGUCCGGUCCGCUUUUUGAGCGUGUAUCUGGUUCGGUCUUGGCAUCUUCCAGGGGAACGUUGCUGCGCUUGAUUGCGUGGUGCGGGUUUCUGGACUUUUACUUUGAGGAAAUUAGAGUGUUUACAGCAGGCAAACGCCGUGAAUAUGUUAGCAUGGAAUAAUAAUAUAGGGCUCUCGGCCUAUUUUGUUGGUUUCUAGGACGAGGGUAAUGAUUAAUAGGGACAACUGGGGGCAUUCGUAUCAACACGUCAGAGGUGGAAUUCUUGGAUUGUGUUGCGACGAACUACUGCGAAAGCAUUUGCCAAGGAUGUUUUCAUUGAUCAAGAACGAAAGUUAGGGAUCGAAGAUGAUUAGAUACCGU